rnacentral:pre_miRNA from 1 species
CCUGGUGGAGAAGCAGGGCACGUGCGAUACACAGAAACAAUUGUAUAAACCAUUAUCGCAUGUGCUUUCCUUCUCCACCAGGC